CCGUUACGCUGAGUGUGUCAUUGCUCCAGUGUCCGGGUGAACUUAUGGUUCAAGGGUCAAGUGUGUCAGGUGGGGUGUCGGAAUUUUUGGCACACCCCGACUUCUGUCUUAUGUAGGGUAAUUAAACCGGGGUAUAUAACCUGCGAGGAAAUUGGUGAAAACUACUUUCGACUUCAGAAUUUGAAGCGUUUACACUAGUGGAUUUUAACAGCCGUUUGGUAUCACAGCUCACAAGGCACCAACAUGAAAAGUUUCGCAGCCAUCACAAUCCUCCUCGCCACCAGUUUGGUUGUCAGUGCAUCUCAGCAAGACCAGACCAAAACUGACGUUAUAGGUAGACACAAUGAUUUGGCACGUGUCAAUCUGGGAACAGCAAUCAGUCUUAUCGUCCCAGUUGCUUUGGGUGUGGCCUUGAUUGCUUUUCUUGCACCCGUAUUCCAGGGACUCUUCGCAGCUCCUAUUCCCUUUGGUCCCACUCUUGGUUAUGCCAGGAACGGCAAAUCUUUAUUCUCUGGAAUCACCCAAGAAAACAUCAUGCAAGUGCUGGACACAGUCACGAAAGCCAUUGAGACCUUCGCGAAGGUUGACGGAAAUGAAGCCAGACCUAAGUCCCAGUGAUUUAGACUUUUAAAACUUUUUAAGCACUGUACAUAGUUAUUUUAUAGCUUUGAAUAAGAAUUUAACAAUCAGGAAAACAUAAGAAUUUAACAAUCCAUGUAGUUCAGAAACUUAAACUGUGUAGAACUUCAUUUCAUAAUAUGAUUGUAGAGAUAAGAGUAAAUGUAUUGAUACGGUCCAUGACGGCUCAUCAGUAUUAACAUGCAUUAUAAUUACUUUUCUAUUCAUCGAUAUUGCCCUUUACGAUGAUUCGCCAAGAAAAACAAAAAUUAUAAACCGUUCAUGAUCUGAUAAGUGAAUUAUUAUCGAUACCUUCCUGUUGAUUGAAAACGUUUAAGCUAAAAAUAAGACUAAAUUUAAAAAUAAGUUUUGUUUCUAUAAAUUAAUAUUAAAUUAGCAGUGGUUGAUAAACGACAAGUACCUAAGUCUUUUAAUACACUUGAAAAGUAAGCUAAAAUUUCUGAACUAACGAAAAUUUAAAAUUUAUUGAAAGGGCUAAACAUUUUAGAAAAUUAAUAUUUGUUAAAAAUACUAUCUAUACAAUUUUUUAAAAAAAAAUUAAAGGAAAAUUAUUUUAUAUUUCAAAUCGAAUUGUAAUUAUUUGAUGAUCUUUUAAAAAUAAUUGAUGUUUGUGAAAUGUGAGGAAAGAUAUCAAUUAAAAAUGCAUAAGUUCUUAAAACCUUGAAAUUAGUAAAAUUUAAGGAGUAGAUUUAAACAGUACCAGUACAAUAAAAAAUAUAAAUACUUUUCGAUGUUAAUAUUUUACAUUUGUGUCACGUCCAUAUUGACGAUGCAGGUCAUUGCCUAACUUAAAUUCAUAUUUGUGAAUUGUUUCCAUGAAUGAGUGUAUAUUUAAGUUAUUUUGUAAUAAAAUGUUUCCGAAAUAAUA